rnacentral:rRNA from 1 species
UACCAGCACCCCGAGUGGUCGGGACGAUUAUUGGGCCUAAAGCAUCCGUAGCCGGUUCUGCAAGUCUUCCGUUAAAUCCACCUGCUCAACAGAUGGGCUGCGGAGGAUACUACAGGGCUAGGAGGCGGGAGAGGCAAGCGGUACUCAGUGGGUAGGGGUAAAAUCCUCUGAUCCACUGAAGACCACCAGUGGCGAAGGCGGCUUGCCAGAACGCGCUCGACGGUGAGGGAUGAAAGCUGGGGAAGCAAACCGG